GACGAACGCUGGCGGCGUGCUUAAUACAUGCAAGUCGAACGGAAAGGCCCUGCUUUUGUGGGGUGCUCGAGAGGCGAACGGGUGAGUAACACGUGAGUAACCUGCACUUGACUUUGGGAUAACAUCAGGAAACUGGGGCUAAUAUCGGAUAGGAGCUCCUGCUGCACGGUGGGGGUUGGUAAGUUUCGGCGGUUGGGGCUGGUCUCGAGGCUUAUCAGCUUGUUGGUGGGGUAGUGGCUUACCAAGGCUGUGACGGGUAGCCGGCCUGAGAGGGUGACCGGCCACAUUGGGACUGAGAGACGGACCAGACGCCUACGGGAGGCAGCAGUGGGGAAUAUUGCACAAUGGGCGGGAGCCUGAUGCAGCGGCGCCGCGUGCGGGAUGACGGCCUUCGGGGUAUAAACCGCUUUCGCCUGUGACGAAGCGUGAGUGACGGUAAUGGGUAAAGAAGCACCUGCUAACUACGUG
rnacentral:rRNA from 1 species